rnacentral:piRNA from 1 species
UCAAAUUCUUGUUUGUGCUUCAGUCUGAC